CCCUUGUGGUCAUCUGUUUUUGCAGCUGAUUUUGCAGUAUCCAACCUAGAGUUCAGUUAGAAUAGGUAUUCAACUAACACCUGUUAAUACUGGGCGGUGGUGAGGUGGGUGGGCUUUAUAACAUGAGCUUGUCAUGGCUUAUACUGGGCUUUGUUGUUCCUCAUUUACUGAGUUACAAAUGAUCCUGUGGUCCAGAGCUCUUGCAGGUGCCCAGUCAUCUGCUAGGAAGGAAAGCUCUGCUGCCAGCAUCUGGUUGGGGUACUGGAGCCAUCCUAAGAUGGCUUCCAUUCAGCUUCUUUACUAUGUUGGAGCUCAGUUGUUUCUCUAUUCCUUGGUGAUUGAGUUCUUUGUAGAGCUGUGGUCUGUUUUCUAAAUGGCUGGCCAGAGUGAAAGCACCAUGCCAGACUUCUUAAUUACUCAAAUUGUAAAUUCUCAUUUUCUAGCUAUUAGUCAUUAGUAAUUCCUAUUUAUUUUUCCUUGUGGAAUUUGUAUAUGCAUUGGGGACCCUUCUCCAUGUUUAUUGUCCAAAUGUAUUUGUUUGUUUAUUUAUUUAUAGAUGACUCUCCUUAUGUUUACAAGCCUGGUGACUGGAAGCCCAGGCUAACCUCAAGUUUCAAUUCCUCUGUCUCUGAGGACUGAAUGCUAUGAUUAUAGACCUGAACUAUCAAGUCUAGCCUAUGGAUAGUCUAGUCUAGUAAUGGAUGGGAAAUUUUUAAUGCUGGUACCAACAAUUUUCAAUCACUAACUGAAACACCACAAAGCCGUUUGAGAAAGAGUGACUCACUGUGCACCCGAGCCUUUUCUCUAUCCCGCUCUGGUCCUGCGGUCCUGCAGCCACUUUUAAAAUAAUCACUCAGAGGCUUAAUAUUAAUUACAAAUUGUUUGGCCUAUGGCUCAGGCUUAUUGCUAGCUAGCUAUUGCAUCUUAAAUUAACCCAUUUCUAUUAAUCUAUAUUUUGCCAAAUGUCUUGUGGCUUUACCUGUGUUCAGUUACAUCUUUCUCCCCCAAACCCCCCACCCCCUUGGCUCGCAGCAUCUCCUCUGACACCGCCUUUCUUCUCCCUGAAUCUUUGCUUGGAUUUCCCACCUGGCUAUAGCCUGUCUUGCCAUAGGCCAAAGCAGCUUCUUUAUUAACCAAUGGUAAUAAAACAUAUUCACAGCUACACAAUGCUUAAAAAUUCUAGAUGCUUCUAAAAACAUAGCAACCCCUGCAAUAUCUGCAAAGAUGCUAAUUGGAAGCUGUGUGACUCUGUCGAUCAAGAUACCCCACAGCAACACACUUUUUCCUGCUUUGUUUAUGAGCCUUCAGUAAGAUCCCCUCAUAAUUAAAAAGGCACAAGGAGGCUUUAAUAUAAGAAUUAAAUAGCCUUGAUUAUUAUUCAUCAUUAUCAUGACUCCCCUUUGCUCUUCUGGAAUUGUUCAUUUUCUUACUAUUAUCAUUGCCUUUACCUUGGAACUCAAGGUAGACUUGGGUACGGGUGAGAUGUUUUGAGCCCUGUCUCUCUUACUUAGCCAUUAUUCUUCCUACCAUCUUAGUACCCUGUCUCAUUUAUUUCCUCCCUCCCUCCCUCUUUCCUCCCUUUCCUCCUUUCUCCCUUCCCUUCUUUCUUAAACGAGUCUCACAAUUUAGCUCAGUGGGCCUAGAACUCAGUCUGCAGAGCAGGAUGGCCAGCCUGUGCUUUGGAGUGCUGGGGAAGAGAGAAUGUCACCCCCCGGCAUUCUUAUUCACUACUGUGAGUCCUUUCCACGAACAGUUCUUGUAUUUUGUUGUCUUGUUCCGUUAUAGAUGAUGUAUUUUCUGAUUCUGUUCUGUUUGGUUCUUUUCUCCUUUUGGCAGUGGACAGGGUAAAUAUGAUGGUGGAACACGUCCCCUUGUGCCAAGAGGCUUAACGCUGUCGCCUAGUGAAACUUCACAACUUUCCAAAAAGAAAAUGAGGUUAUGGGAUAUGCUGACACACUGUGAAUUGUGCAAUUGUGUUAAGAAGCAGAAGCCCCAAACCAACCCAAAAAACAGAACACACUCAAACCCCAAAUGAAUAAGCACAAUUAUGUCUUUUUCAAACCUUUCAAAAAAAUGGUGAAAAGGACAGCGACAGAAAAAUACUGUAAUCUGUAAGAGAACAAAAAUUUGCCUUUAACUUGAGAAGUGUUUGAAAGGUAGACAAGACUGAUUUGGGGAGCCAUUGUCUUGUGUCCUGAUGGAACUAAGGAAAGCUGUCAGAAAGGAGAGAGAGAAGAUGAUGGCCACAAAAUGGAGAAGUUGCUGGCAGAUAGUUACGGGACCCUUCAAGAAGACAAUGAGAAUUAAUAAACCAAUGAAAAUUAAUAGAUAGAUGGUCAUAACUGGCUUUUUAAGGCUGAUGAACAAGUGACAGAGGAAAUGGAAACAAUUGUUCAUCAGGCCAAGUGGGAAGAAGUGGUAGUGUGGAGUCUGAUUUUAAAUGAUUUUUCCAAAUCUGGUCCUAAAUUCUUCAAGCUAUGCAUGAUAGAAAGAAAAGUUGCAGCAUGAUGAUUUGGAUAUUGUAUGGAAGCUCAAUCUUGAUUUAUGGUUUUAUUUAAUUAAUUGAGUAAUUUAGCUGUGUUGGGGGAUCGCACCCAGAGCCUUGUACAUGCUUGGAAAUCGUUGUAGCAUGGAGUUAUGGUCACUACUUUAAUGCAUGCACCUUUUAUCUCCCCCAGUCACCGUUGUCACAGUUCAAGUCCUGAGGAGAAGGGAGGGAUGGGCUCUGGUGAGGUUAGGAGAGAAGGAGUAAGGUCUUGUGUUCUCGUCUUCCGAGGCUUGGAGUAACGUGACUGAAUUUCUCAGACUCAGAUAUUCCACCUGCAAAACUGAGGCAAUGAAGCUGCACAAUGCUUAAAAAUUCUAGAUGCUUCUAAAAACAUAGCAACCCCUCCAAUAUCUGCAAAGAUGCUAAUUGGAAGCUGUGUGACUCUGUCGAUCAAUGGUAAUGUAUCUUAGAAACAUCAGAGAGAAGUUUAUGAACUUAAAGGGGAAAACCUUUAAGAUGGUUGCCACGUAGAUGACAUUACUUGCCCACAUUCUUGGGAGAACUGAUUUUAUAGUUGAAAGCUUUUUAUUUGAAAUGAAUUCACAGUUCUUAAAUACUUUCAUGUGUGCCUCAGCCCAAACAUUGCAAAUUGAUGGAGAUUAUUAGGUAUAACUUUUGACAAUAGAGGAAAUUGAAAAGAGAUUUUCUUAUGAGUUUUACUUUGAGCUAUUUCCUUAAGUUCCAAGGGUAAAAUGUACACUUUACAAUUUAAAUGAUAACGUAAAAACGUAGCUCCAAAACUCUGAAGAUGGUGUCCCUUUAAGCUUUCUUUAAAAAAAUGCUAAGAACCAUUUUUAUUGGGUUGUGCAUUUUUGGUUUAGCUGGAUUAAUCUCGUAGUUGCCAAGGCAGAUUGAUUUGCUUAUAAACUUGUUAAACCCAAUCUGCACACAACCACAUCACAGAUAAUACAGUGGGAAAAGACCACUCAAAUUGUCAGUCUGCAUCCACUCACCACCUCAGUCUUAUUAAUUAAUGUCUGAUUUAACUUCUUAGGCAAUGCUCUCCACAUUGCGUGUCUUACACGUUGUAUGUUUAAGUGACAUGCUGACGAUCGUUAGCCAUGUGUGCUGAUGUGGUCAAAAAGACCUGAUGUGAGACCAGAAUUCCCAUUUUAGUGACAUACUAAGGCUGGGAUGCUGUGAGUGAAUCACUGUUGCUGCGUCAACAUGGAGGCCCCCAUGUGUGGGCUGCUGUGUUGGAGACAGCUAUCCAGGUGCCAAGCAUCUUUCCUCCACAUUGGUGCCAGUAGUUCAGGAAGAAGAGUGUGCCACUCCCCGGUGACUAGCAGUUAAGAACGUUCCAUGGAUGCCUUCCACUUUAUAAAAGCCUCUUAGUUUUAAAACGAAUAAAGCUUCGUUUUGUUCCCCUUCAUUUAUCUAAUGAGCUUGUUAGUGAGGCACAUGGAAUUAUGACAUUGGUGAGGUUGAAAUUUCCUUUAGAGGGGGUACUUAGAUUGCCUAGUAAUGUUUGUGAUGGUAUUGCAUGAAAAUGUUAUAGGUCUGUGAUUGGGGAAGAGAGAGAGAGAGAGAAAGAGAGAGAGAGAGAGACAGAGAUAGAGAGAGACAGAGAGGCAGAGACAGAGAGACAGAGACAGAGAGACAGAGACAGAGAGAGACAGAGAGGCAGAGACAGAGAGACAGAGACAGAGAGAGACAGAGAGACAGAGAGUCAGAGACAGAGAGAGACAGAGACAGAGAGAGACAGAGGCAGAGACAGAGAGACAGAGACAGAGAGAGACAGAGACAGAGAUGACAGAGACAGAAAGAGACAGACUAAGAGAGACAGAGGAAGAGCAACAGAGAGAUAGAGAAAGAGAGACACACAGAGAAAGACAGAGACACAGAAAGAUAGACAGUGAGACAGAGACAGAGAGAGACAGAGAGAGACAGACACACAGGGACACAUAAAGAGAGACAGACAGACAGAGAGACAGAGAAACACACACACACACACACACACACACACACACACACACACACACACACACGAUGCUUACAGAACAGGAGAAAUGAUUUCUCUUCCAACAGGUGACAGCAUUGAAGCUUUCAUGUAUUAGCUGCUAGAAGUUUAUCCACCACAAUGUACGCAGAAAUACAUUUUCUUGAGUUGGUCUUGGUUUUACUCGAGAUUUGCUCUGCCUCAAUUUGACCCACUUCAGUUUUAGGCCAGAUGAAAUAUCUAGUGACUUCAUCUCAAAGGUUGGCUGUCUUCUUCCGUGGCAUCUGACAGCAAGAGUGAAUGAAGGCCAUCUACAAUUCUGGCUGUCUUGCCCGGGCAUGGCUCUGGUCUUGGCUGUUGGCCAAGUAGCAUCUGGACUCUCCUGAUCCCGUCCCGAGACUAACUUUCAAGUAUGCUGCUAAUUUCUAUAACUCUGCCUGGAGGAGACAAUGUAAUUUCUUCCAGUCCAGAGGCUUCCAUUAUCAUACUAGAUUAAGUGGCCAUCACACUCCAGAAUGACCUCAUCUUAAUUUACAUUUAAUUACAUCUGCAAAGACCCUAUUUCACUAUGAGGGCACAUUCCCAGUCAUCAAGGUUUAGAACUCCAACAGAUCUUCUUGUGGGAUGCAAUUAACUCUGCAGAAGUGACUGCACAUUGGGACCGGGGAGGGUAUUUGUGAAUUGCUUAAACAAAUAGCAAGCUGGACUUCACUGAUGUUGGAAAAACUUAUUUUCCAUACAUUUGUUUUUCUUUCAAUGGAGCUCCAUUUUUGGAACUUGUGGUGGUCGGUUUUAACUCUUAUCUUGACAGGUUCUAGAAUCCUCUGAGAAGUGAGCCUCUGGAUAUGCUCAUGGGAGGUUAUUUUGAUUACAAUAACUGAGACAUGAAGAGCCAGCUACAGUGGGUGGCAUCAUUCCCUGAUGGGGACCUUGGACUGUGUGAAGUGGAGAAAGGGAAUUGAGAAGCACCAUGCCUUCAUCCCAGUCAAUUUCCUCACUGGGGAUGGAAUGCACACUCCUAUCCAUAUUCCUGAUGUCUUGACCUCCCCCACCAUGAUGGACUGUGCCUUGAACCUGAACAUUGAUGCUGGACAGUGAGGCCACAGAAGUUCUCUUACACUGGAAACCUCAGCCCUCUCAGCUCCUCCAGAAUCAGAAUCAAUGCUUGGAACGAGAAAUAGUCAUUCUUUUCGCAUGGCAGUGGUUGUCUGGUGACCUUGAGUCUCUCAAAUCAGGCCUUGAGAAACCCUGUCAUCUGUUUAUUGUUUUGAAGGUUCAAAUGUCUUCCACUAGUACUCAGUGAGACCCUAAAGCAGAUGAUGGCAUUCCUGGAGUGAGUGAAUUGCUUGAUCAAAAUUCAGGAAAAAAUAUGGGAGGAAGAAGUUAAAAUCUAAAGGGCUAUAGAGCUAAACAGAGAAUUCUCAACAGAGGAAACUCAAAUGGCUGAAAGACAUUUAAGGAAUUGCUCAACAUCCCUAAUCAUCAGGGAAAUGCAAAUCAAAACAACUCUGAGAUACCACCUUACGCCUGUCAGAAUGGCUAAGAUCAAAAACACUGAAGACACCUUAUGCUGGAGAGGAUGUGGAGCUAGGGGAACUCUCCUCCACUGCUGGUGGGAAUGCAAGCUUGUACAACCACUUUGGAAAUCAAUAUGGUGCUUUCUUAGAAAAUUGGGAAUCCAUCUCCCCCAAGAUCCAGCUAUACCACUCUUGGGCAUAUACCCAAGGAAUGCUCAACCACACCACAAGAGCACUUGUUCAACUAUGUUCAUAUCAGCAUUGUUUGUAAUAGCCAGAACAUGGAAACAACUUAGAUGCCCUUCAACUGAAGAAUGGAUAAACAAAAUGUGGUACAUAUACACAAUGGAAUACUACUCAGCAGAGAAAAACAAUGACAUCAUGAGGUUUGCAGACAAAUGGAUGGAUCUAGAAAAAAUCAUCCUGAGUGAGGUAACCCAGACUCAGAAAGACAAACACGAUAAGAGGCAUAAAUUACGAUUCUGGCUGUUGUUCACCCUCACAUCGCUGCUGUCUGGCCUCCUUUCCCAUUCUCUGAACAUGAAAGGAAUGAGGAGGUUAUUGGGAGGUAGGAGGAGUUCUCCUGCUUUGGUUACCAAGGAAUCUUGAAUGUCAUCCAUCCUGCAAAGCAGCAGGCAGACCUACUAUAAGGAGUCAAUUGAAAAGCAGGCCCUGGGAGGCUGGAGAGAUGGCUCAGAGGUUAAGAGCACACCUUAUCUUGCAGAAGAUCUGGCAUCAGCACCGUGGUAACUACUUUAGGCAACUUACAACCACCUACACGAUAACUCCAGCUCCAUGGGGCUGUGACACCUCUGGCCUCAUUCUACUCCGGCACUCAUCUGCAACACCCCAACAACAUGCACAUAACUGAAGAUAAUCAAAUAAAUAUUUAUAAAAGAAAAGUCGCCUCCAGAACUGGGCCUGUAGUUCAGCAGCAGAGUACUUGCUUCACAUAUGCCAGGUCCUGGGUGCCACCCCUAGCAUUGAACAAAUAAAGUCUCUGUUACCUUUGUCCCUCCUUCUCAGAGUUGAACUGAGGAAACCCAAGUGCUCAGUUUUGCUUAGGAAAUGACAUGAAGCAGUUUUGGGUCUAUGAUAUGUAAUCACCAAAAGGCCAGCUUCUUCAGGAAGCAGGAACAAACAACUCUGUCCCCGUGAAAAUAAAAACAACUGCUGCAAGAUUUGAUGUAAGUAAAUACUAUGGUGUGGGGAAGAAGUCUUAUAAAGAAUUCUGAGGUGGCGAGCUCUAUGAAAUACCAGGAGCCUUUGGUUAACUACAGGAGCCAAAAUACAGCGCCACUCACUGUAAUCAGCCCCAUCACCGCUAAGGCUGAUACAUUCAUUAUUGAAGACAGAAUCCAAUGCAGCAGACAUUAGACACGACUGUACAGUUCUUAGAAAUAAAUUACAACUCAGCUCUGGAAAUAAAAAAUUCAUCCAAUUGGCCACUUAAGGGCGAUGGUGGGUUAUCUUAAAAAAAGAACCCUACACUUUCAUAACAAUGUACAAUUUAAAGAACUUUGAAAAUCUUCUGUGACCUGUGGGUAAAAAGACAUCUCAAGAAUGCAGACAAGAGCCUUUUCUUCACGUGGGUCUCUCUUGUUUCCCUGUUAAAGUAAAAGGAAUCUGAGGUUCGUGGAACCCUUGCGAUGGUUUCAUUGAUGGAUCACUUCAAGAAGAGUGUGGAUGGUUUAUUUUCACAAAUCAGCUUUAGUUUCUUUUUAUGAAAUGAAUGAACAAGAAGCCUGUUAAAGGGAUUGUAAAAAUCCUUCUUUUUAAUUGUUUACUCUGUGAGGGUGACAGUACGUGCCAGCCUGAUGUAUGAGGAGCCCACACUUACUGCAGUCAACAUCAAUUAUAGUGGGGGUACAUGGCCAUCCUUCAACCUCUGGACACCCAUUGCUAAUCUUUUAGUUUGAGUCUUCUCUCCAAUGGGAAAAGUAGGAUUUUCUUCAUCUCUGACUGUUUUGCUUUUGUUUUUGAACUUACUUUUCUGGUGUCCUCGUCCCCACCCUUGUCUUCCUCCUCCUCCUCUUCUUUUCUCUGUGAUUUAUCCCUUAGUUACCUUUUAAGAAAGGUAACUAACAUUUUAGUGUAGUAGUCUGUGCUUUUAGUGUGGAACCUCACCCUCAGUUUCACUUCCACUGGAAACUAUAUUGAGCUCUGUUUCAAAUAAUCUCAGAAAUUUUCUUCACUGUUAUUUUCAGUAGGCCAAGGCUCCAGAAAUUGUGUGUUACGACCCUAUUUAGGGUCCUGUGACUAAAUAUGGGGAUCAUAGAAAUUUUGGUAACAUUAAAAAGAUUUCCUGACAGAUAACAAUCAAAACUUAAUAAAAAAAAAGUAGAAAAAUCAAGCACAUAGUGACUCUGAGGUGUUUCUGACAGUACUUGCCUGUAUUGCAUCACGCGACUUCACUAUGGUGAUACAUUUUUUUGCAUCCCCAUAAGCUUCUCCACCGAUGCAGCAAUCCAAAUCAGACUGACUUAGAAAAAGCUCCAGUUGAAUGGGUAAAGCAUUCCUGGGUGAUUCUCCAGUCUCCCAGAGAGGAGACCAGGACGAGAGACCCCAAAACCACGUGUCUGUUUUCUGGGAUGCAGCUUAAAUACCCUGUGGGAGUGGUCUUGAGCCUCUCUGGGGGAGGAGCUGUG